GACGAACGCUGGCGGCGUGCCUAAUACAUGCAAGUCGAACGCUUCUUUCCUCCCGAGUGCUUGCACUCAAUUGGAAAGAGGAGUGGCGGACGGGUGAGUAACACGUGGGUAACCUACCCAUCAGAGGGGGAAAACACUUGGAAACAGGUGCUAAUACCGCAUAACAGUUUAUGCCGCAGGGCAUAAAGGUGAAGGGCGCUUUCGGGGGUCGCGGAGGGAUGGACCCGCGGUGCAUUAGCUAGUUGGUGAGGUAACGGCUCACCAAGGCCACGAUGCAUAGCCGACCUGAGAGGGUGAUCGGCCACACUGGGACUGAGACACGGCCCAGACUCCUACGGGAGGCAGCAGUAGGGAAUCUUCGGCAAUGGACGAAAGUCUGACCGAGCAACGCCGCGUGAGUGAAGAAGGUUUUCGGAUCGUAAAACUCUGUUGUUAGAGAAGAACAAGGACGUUAGUAACUGAACGUCCCCUGACGGUAUCUAACCAGAAAGCCACGGCUAACUACGUG
rnacentral:rRNA from 1 species